CACAUGAUUAAUGGCGUGGUCAAAUAUAGCCAGCCUGUUAGUCUCAUGUAAAAGCAUCUGGGCACACAGUUUAAUGGAGAACACAAGUGCAGAAAGAAAAAGCAAAAGGGUUCAUAAACAGUGAUGGUACAUCAGGCAGAACACAGCUGUAGUCUGACCAGCAGGUCAUGUUUUAAGGGUAAAUCGGUGCGCUGUUCGGAUUCAAGCGCGCUCCAGGUCUGACUGAAGCUCGAGGGCUGUUCUACAACACCAAAGGAUGAGAAGGAUUUACAUCAUGUGGUAAUUGGGAUUUAGACAAGCUUCAGUCUGGAUCCAGAACACCUGAGAAGAGAUGAUGUUACCCCCUUAGAGGACCUCAGAUGAUGCUAACCCUGAAUCAACAAACAGAACUACCAAAUAUUGCUGCAAGUGUGAUUGCAUAUAUAGCAAAUAUAGUAUUAGUAAACAAUUAAAGAAUUAAAAAAAAUUCUCUGGAUAGAAUGCAUGGAACUUCCGGAAGCUAAAUGUCAUGUUCCAUAGCAAGUUUAUCAAGGCAUAAAUCAGCAUCCCGUGUGUUAGAAAAAUAAUUAAAAGGCCAUAACGAAUAAGAAUGUUUUGGUAUCGGCAGCCAUCAUGGUACAAUAUCUGGCAUUGGUACACGCUGAAAUCAGCACACUCUUUUAUUUAGGUAAUUGAUUUUCAGUUCCGGCACAGAGGAGAAAAAAGUUGAACCAUUCAUCUCGUAUGCAGAUAAUGAGCAAAUGUCCUUAUGCUAAUUAAUUGUCUUUUAAAAGAUUGUUGUGGGACAUUGAUUCUGAUCCUUAACUGUGCUAUUAAUACCUAUUUGCCCUUCCGUUUCUUGAGAUGGCAACCCUCUCCCUGUGAUGAAAUAUAAUUUUUCAUUUCUUCAGGAAUGGAUGAAAAAUUGAUGAUCUCAGUGGUACAAAAGCCGGAGUCUAGAUUGCCUGCAGCUUGCAAAACAGAUUGUGCCGUCCCAAAGAAAAUGGGAAUGAAGGCGAGCCACACAAUGCAGGUGGUGUACAUAGUGAAGCCGAUGGGUUUGGCUUCAUUGAAGUUCUCCGGGACGCCUCGCGUUUUGAUGGCGUAAAUCGUA